ACUCCUACGGGAGGCAGCAGUGGGGAAUAUUGCACAAUGGGUAGCAACCUGAUGCAGCCAUGCCGCGUGAUGUAGCAAGAAUGGGCCUUCGGGUUGAUAAAGCACUUUCAGUAGGGAGGAAGGUAGUGUAGUUAACACCUGCAUUUAUUUGACCGUUACCUACAGAAGAAGCACCGGCUAACUCCGUGCCAGCAGCCGCGGUAAUACGGAGGGUGCGAGCGUUAAUCGGAAUUACUGGGCGUAAAGCGCAUGCAGGCGGCCUGUUAAGUCAGAUGUGAAAGCCCGGGGCUUAACCUCGGAAUUGCAUUUGAAACUGGCAGGCUAGAGUCUUGUAGAGGGGGGUAGAAUUUCAGGUGUAGCGGUGAAAUGCGUAGAGAUCUGAAGGAAUACCAGUGGCGAAGGCGGCCCCCUGGACAAAGACUGACGCUCAGAUGCGAAAGCGUGGGGAGCAAACAGGAUUAGAUACCCUGGUAGGAUAG
rnacentral:rRNA from 1 species